rnacentral:rRNA from 1 species
GGGGGCCCGCACAAGCGGCGGAGCAUGCGGCUUAAUUCGAUGCAACGCGAAGAACCUUACCUGGGCUUGACAUGCAGGGUGAAACCCGUGAAAGCGGGCGCUCUUCGGAGCCUGCACAGGUGGUGCAUGGCUGUCGUCAGCUCGUGCCGUGAGGUGUUGCCUUAAGUGGCGCAACGAGCGCAACCCCUGUCCUUAGUUGCCAGCGGAUAAUGCCGGGAACUCUAGGGAGACUGCCGGUGCCAAACCGGAGGAAGGUGGGGAUGACGUCAAGUCAUCAUGCCCCUUAUGUCCAGGGCUGCACGCAUGCUACAAUGCGCGGUACAGAGGGCUGCGAUCCCGUAAGGGGGAGCGAAUCCCAGAAAGCCGUGCUCAGUUCGGAUCGAGGUCUGCAACCCGACCUCGUGAAGUCGGAGUCGCUAGUAAUCGCAGAUCAGCAAUGCUGCGGUGAAUACGUUCCCGGGCCUUGUACACACCGCCCGUCACACCACGAAAGUGGGCAACACCCGAAGCCGGUGGCCCAACCCUUGUGGAGGGAGCCGUCG